UUAAAAUAAUCCAAUAUAUUAAAAUGCAAAAUGU
rnacentral:misc_RNA from 1 species